GGCGGAGUAGAACGGAGCGGAAUGGAAUGGGGUAGAAUAGAAGCAAACAGAACGGAACGGAACCGGAGAGGAGAGAACGGAACGGAACGGGACAGAAUAGGAUAGAAUGGAACAGAACAGCGGAACGGAGGGGCGCAGACGGCAAUGGCGCAGAGACGGAGAGCUGCGGGAGGCGGCGGAGAUCGCAGAGCCGCACUGCGCGCCGCCCGGGACUCACAGCGCAGCACUGAGAGCGCUACCCGAACGCCCACCGCUCACCGACACGUGCAGAGCGACCCACGAAGCUGUCUGACCACCCCCAUAGGAAAGCCCUUUCCUUACUGCUUCGAGCUGUGGCUGAAAUCAGACCUGCGAGCAGCCAAAUUGCUAUGGAGAACAGGAGGAGGGGCAGAGCUACGGCCAUUAAGGACACAGCGCAGAGAUGGAGAGGGGAAGGCGAGCUUCACAGCAGCAAGGGGAAGCCAAUGGCUGAAAACAGACGGCAUCUUCUAAGAGACAGCAGCAGCAUAAUGCCCCCAGGUUUGAAAUGCUCCAGGCUCAGCAAGGGAAGGUACUGAGCAGCUCCUGCCCAGCUGCAGCGGGCCCAUCAGCAGCACACACAGCAAGCCUGAAUGCACAAAACUGGAUCAUCUCUGGCCCAGAGAGCUGCAUGCUUUGGGUGCAAGGCACAGGGGAGGGACAUAGGGAGAAAACAUGAGGGAGAAGGGUCGCAGGACAGAGAAAGCAGGAGAUCCCCGUGCCCUCAUCCACAAGGCUGGACUUUGCUAGAAGGUGCCCUCUCAGCAACAAUGAUCUGAACCUUAUCUCCAGUAUUUAAAACGCUUAUGAAGCGAACAAAGCAGCCUUUCACCUCCAGUGGGUGGGACAGGUGGGCCUCCUGCGUGCUCCAUCGGCUGAUGGGCAGCUCCCCUGGAACACUGGUCAGACAACUGCUAGGAAAUUGCACUUAGUGAUUGUCUCGUUACACUUUCGCGUCCUUCCUAAAACUAGAUUUAUUUUCUGUACAAACUUGGCUUGAAAUAUAAACCACAUAAAAUUCCCAUUGAAAAUAAUGAGAAUCCUGUAUCAAAGAUGAAGUCUCGUGAGAGACGGGGGUGGGGGGGAGGAAGGAGAGGAGAGCGAGGGUGGAAGAAAAACAACCACGAUG
rnacentral:lncRNA from 1 species